rnacentral:rRNA from 1 species
AGUGAACGCUGGUGGUAGGCCUAACACAUGCAAGUCGAACGGCAGCACAGGAGAGCUUGCUCUCUGGGUGGCGAGUGGCGGACGGGUGAGGAAUACAUCGGAAUCUACUCUGUCGUGGGGGAUCACGUAGGGAAGCUUACGCUAAUACCGCAUACGAACUACGGGUGAAAGCAGGGGAGCUUCAGACCUUGCGCGAUUGAAUGAGCCGAUGUCGGAUUAGGUAGUUGGCGGGGUAAAGGCCCACCAAGGCGACGAUCCGUAGCUGGUCUGAGAGGAUGAUCAGCCACACUGGAACUGAGACACGGUCCAGACUCCUACGGGAGGCAGCAGUGGGGAAUAUUGGACAAUGGGCGCAAGCCUGAUCCAGCCAUACCGCGUGGGUGAAGAAGGCCUUCGGGUUGUAAAGCCCUUUUGUUGGGAAAGAAAUCCAGCUGGCUAAUACCCGGUUGGGAUGACGGUACCCAGAGAAUAAGCACCGGCUAACUUCGUGCCAGCAGCCGCCGUAA